rnacentral:rRNA from 1 species
UACGAAGGGGGCUAGCGUUGUUCGGAACAACUGGGCGUAAAGCGCAUGUAGGCGGAUUUUUAAGUCAGAGGUGAAAUCCCAGGGCUCAACCCCGGCAUUGCCUUUGAUACUGGAGAUCUGGAGUCUGGGAGAGGUGAGUGGAAUUCCGAGUGUAGAGGUGAAAUUCGUAGAUAUUCGGAGGAACACCAGUGGCGAAAGCGGCUCACUGGCCCGAGACUGACGCUGAGAUGCGAAAGCGUGGGGAGCAAACAGG